CCUACGGGAGGCUGCAGUGAGGAAUAUUGGUCAAUGGCCGCGAGCCUGAACCAGCCAAGUAGCGUGAAGGAUGACUGCCCUACGGGUUGUAAACUUCUUUUAUGAAGGAAUAAAGUGAGGCACGUGUGCCUUUUUGCAUGUAUUUCAUGAAUAAGGAUCGGCUAAUUCCGUGCCAGCAGCCGCGGUAAUACGGAGGAUCCGAGCGUUAUCCGGAUUUAUUGGGUUUAAAGGGAGCGUAGAUGGGUUGUUAAGUCAGCUGUGAAAGUUUGCGGCUCAACCGUAAAAUUGCAAUGGAUACUGGCAGCCUUGAGUACGGGUGAGGUAGGCGGAAUUCGUGGUGUAGCGGUGAAAUGCUUAGAUAUCACGAAGAACUCCGAUUGCGAAGGCAGCCUGCUAAACUGCCACUGACGUUGAAGCUCGAAAGUGUGGGUAUCGAACAGGAUUAGAUACCCGAGUAGUC
rnacentral:rRNA from 1 species